rnacentral:rRNA from 1 species
GAACCAGUACCGUGAGGGAAAGGCGAAAAGAACCCCGGCGAGGGGAGUGAAAAAGAACCUGAAACCGUGUACGUACAAGCAGUGGGAGCACCUUCGGGUGUGACUGCGUACCUUUUGUAUAAUGGGUCAGCGACUUAUAUUCUGUAGCAAGGUUAACCGUAUAGGGGAGCCGCAGGGAAACCGAGUCUUAACUGGGCGUUAAGUUGCAGGGUAUAGACCCGAAACCCGGUGAUCUAGCCAUGGGCAGGUUGAAGGUUGGGUAACACUAACUGGAGGACCGAACCGACUAAUGUUGAAAAAUUAGCGGAUGACUUGUGGCUGGGGGUGAAAGGCCAAUCAAACCGGGAGAUAGCUGGUUCUCCCCGAAAGCUAUUUAGGUAGCGCCUCGUGAACUCAUCUUCGGGGGUAGAGCACUGUUUCGGCUAGGGGGUCAUCCCGACUUACCAACCCGAUGCAAACUACGAAUACCGAAGAAUGUUAUCACGGGAGACACACGGCGGGUGCUAACGUCCGUCGUGAAGAGGGAAACAACCCAGACCGCCAGCUAAGGUCCCAAAGUCAUGGUUAAGUGGGAAACGAUGUGGGAAGGCACAGACAGCCAGGAUGUUGGCUUAGAAGCAGCCAUCAUUUAAAGAAAGCGUAAUAGCUCACUGGUCGAGUCGGCCUGCGCGGAAGAUGUAACGGGGCUAAACCAUGCACCGAAGCUGCGGCAGCGACACUAUGUGUUGUUGGGUAGGGGAGCGUUCUGUAAGCCUGCGAAGGUGUGCUGUGAGGCAUGCUGGAGGUAUCAGAAGUGCGAAUGCUGACAUAAGUAACGAUAAAGCGGGUGAAAAGCCCGCUCGCCGGAAGACCAAGGGUUCCUGUCCAACGUUAAUCGGGGCAGGGUGAGUCGACCCCUAAGGCGAGGCCGAAAGGCGUAGUCGAUGGGAAACAGGUUAAUAUUCCUGUACUUGGUGUUACUGCGAAGGGGGGACGGAGAAGGCUAUGUUAGCCGGGCGACGGUUGUCCCGGUUUAAGCAUGUAGGCUGGUUAUCCAGGCAAAUCCGGAUAAUCAAGGCUGAGGUGUGAUGACGAGGCACUACGGUGCUGAAGUAACAAAUGCCCUGCUUCCAGGAAAAGCCUCUAAGCAUCAGGUAACAUCAAAUCGUACCCCAAACCGACACAGGUGGUCAGGUAGAGAAUACCAAGGCGCUUGAGAGAACUCGGGUGAAGGAACUAGGCAAAAUGGUGCCGUAACUUCGGGAGAAGGCACGCUGGUGUGUAGGUGAAGUCCCUGCGGAUGGAGCUGAGACCAGUCGAAGAUACCAGCUGGCUGCAACUGUUUAUUAAAAACACAGCACUGUGCAAACACGAAAGUGGACGUAUACGGUGUGACGCCUGCCCGGUGCCGGAAGGUUAAUUGAUGGGGUUAUCCGUAAGGAGAAGCUCUUGAUCGAAGCCCCGGUAAACGGCGGCCGUAACUAUAACGGUCCUAAGGUAGCGAAAUUCCUUGUCGGGUAAGUUCCGACCUGCACGAAUGGCGUAAUGAUGGCCAGGCUGUCUCCACCCGAGACUCAGUGAAAUUGAACUCGCUGUGAAGAUGCAGUGUACCCGCGGCAAGACGGAAAGACCCCGUGAACCUUUACUAUAGCUUGACACUGAACAUUGAGCCUUGAUGUGUAGGAUAGGUGGGAGGCUUUGAAGCGUGGACGCCAGUCUGCGUGGAGCCAACCUUGAAAUACCACCCUUUAAUGUUUGAUGUUCUAACGUUGGCCCCUGACCGGGGUUGCGGACAGUGUCUGGUGGGUAGUUUGACUGGGGCGGUCUCCUCCCAAAGCGUAACGGAGGAGCACGAAGGUUAGCUAAUCCUGGUCGGACAUCAGGAGGUUAGUGCAAUGGCAUAAGCUAGCUUGACUGCGAGCGUGACGGCGCGAGCAGGUGCGAAAGCAGGUCAUAGUGAUCCGGUGGUUCUGAAUGGAAGGGCCAUCGCUCAACGGAUAAAAGGUACUCCGGGGAUAACAGGCUGAUACCGCCCAAGAGUUCAUAUCGACGGCGGUGUUUGGCACCUCGAUGUCGGCUCAUCACAUCCUGGGGCUGAAGUAGGUCCCAAGGGUAUGGCUGUUCGCCAUUUAAAGUGGUACGCGAGCUGGGUUUAGAACGUCGUGAGACAGUUCGGUCCCUAUCUGCCGUGGGCGCUGGAGAAUUGAGGGGGGCUGCUCCUAGUACGAGAGGACCGGAGUGGACGCAUCACUGGUGUUCGGGUUGUCAUGCCAAUGGCACUGCCCGGUAGCUAAAUGCGGAAGAGAUAAGUGCUGAAAGCAUCUAAGCACGAAACUUGCCCCG